rnacentral:rRNA from 1 species
CCUACGGGAGGCAGCAGUCCUACGGGAGGCAGCAGUCCUACGGGAGGCAGCAGCAGGGAAUCUUGCGCAAUGGGCGAAAGCCUGACGCAGCAACGCCGCGUGGGGGAUGAAGGCCUUCGGGUUGUAAACCCCUUUCAGGAGGGAAGAAAUUGACGGUACCUCCAGAAGAAGGACGGGCCAACUACGUGCCAGCAGCCGCGGUAAU